rnacentral:rRNA from 1 species
GACGUAGGGCGCGAGCGUUGUCCGGGUUUAUUGGGCGUAAAGAGCUCGUAGGCGGUCUGUCGCGUCGGCUGUGAAAUCCCGGAGCUCAACUCCGGGUCUGCAGUCGAUACGGGCAAACUGGAGUACUGUAGGGGAGACUGGAAUUCCUGGUGUAGCGGUGAAAUGCGUAGAUAUCAGGAGGAACACCUGCGGUGUAGACGGCUUACUGGACGGUAACUGACGCUGAGGCACGAAAGCGUGGGUAGCAAACAGG